rnacentral:rRNA from 1 species
AGAAUCAACGCUGGCGGCGUGCCUAACACAUGCAAGUCGAACGAGAAAGUGGAGCAAUCCAUGAGUAAAGUGGCGACCGGGUGAGUAACACGUGACUAACCUACCUUCGAGUGGGGGAUAACCUCGGGAAACCGGGGCUAAUACCGCAUAACAUCUUUGAAGUGGAAAUUUCGGAGAUCAAAGGAGCAAUUCGCUGGAAGAGGGGGUCGCGGCUGAUUAGCUAGUUGGCGGGGUAACGGCCCACCAAGGCUUAGAUCGGUA